rnacentral:rRNA from 1 species
GAUGAACGCUGGCGGCGUGCCUAAUACAUGCAAGUCGAGCGAGGUUCUUCGGAACCUAGCGGCGGACGGGUGAGUAACACGUGGGUAACCUGCCUGUAAGACCGGGAUAACUUCGGGAAACCGAAGCUAAUACCGGAUAAUUUCGAGCAUCGCAUGAUGCUUGAUGGAAAGACGGUUUCGGCUGUCACUUACAGAUGGACCCGCGUCGCAUUAGCUAGUUGGUGAGGUAACGGCUCACCAAGGCGACGAUGCGUAGCCGACCUGAGAGGGUGAUCGGCCACACGGGGACUGAGACACGGGCCAGACUCCUACGGGAGGCAGCAGUAGGGAAUCUUCGGCAAUGGGCGAAAGCCUGACCGAGCAACGCCGCGUGAGCGAUGAAGGCCUUCGGGUCGUAAAGCUCUGUUGUUAAGGAAGAACAAGUACGAGAGUAACUGCUCGUACCUUGACGGUACUUAACGAGAAAGCCACGGCUAACUACGUGCCAGCCGCCGCCGUAACAC